rnacentral:rRNA from 1 species
UACGAAGGGGGCUAGCGUUGUUCGGAAUCACUGGGCGUAAAGGGCGCGUAGGCGGGCUGGCAAGUCAGGGGUGAAAGCCCACGGCUCAACCGUGGAAGUGCCUUUGAUACUGCCAGUCUGGAGGGAGGUAGGGGCGUGCGGAACUUCCGGUGGAGCGGUGAAAUGCGUAGAUAUCGGAAGGAACACCGGUGGCGAAAGCGGCGCGCUGGACCUCUUCUGACGCUGAGGCGCGAAAGCCAGGGGAGCAAACGGG